rnacentral:rRNA from 1 species
UACAGAGGUCUCAACCGUUGUUCGGAUUCACUGGGCGUAAAGGGUGCGUAGGUGGUUAGGUAAGUCCGAUGUGAAAUCUCCAGGCUCAACCUGGAAAUGGCAUUGGAUACUAUUUAGCUUGAGGAGUGGAGGGGGGACUGGAAUUCUCGGUGUAGCAGUGAAAUGCGUAGAUAUCGAGAGGAACACCAGUGGCGAAGGCGAGUCCCUGGACACUUCCUGACACUGAGGCACGAAAGCUAGGGGAGCAAACAGG